GUGCUCACUUCGGCAGCACAUAUACUAAAAUUGGAAUGAUACAGAGAAGAUUAGUAUGGCCCAUGCGCAAGGAUGACAUGCAAAUUCAUGAGGCGGUCCAUAUUUUU
rnacentral:snRNA from 1 species